GAUGAACGCUGGCGGCGUGCCUAAUACAUGCAAGUCGAGCGAACAGACGAGGAGCUUGCUCCUCUGACGUUAGCGGCGGACGGGUGAGUAACACGUGGAUAACCUACCUAUAAGACUGGGAUAACUUCGUGAAACCGGAGCUAAUACCGGAUAAUAUAUUGAACCGCAUGGUUCAAUAGUGAAAGACGGUUUUGCUUUCACUUAUAGAUUGAUCCGCGCCGCAUUAGCUAGUUGGUAAGGUAACGGCUUACCAAGGCAACGAUGCGUAGCCGACCUGAGAGGGUGAUCGGCCACACGGGAACUGAGACACGGACCAGAAUCCUACGGGAGGCAGCAGUAGGGAAUCUGCCGCAAGGGGCGAAAGCCUGACGGAGCAACGCCGCGUGAGUGAUGAAGGUCUUCGGAUCGUAAAACUCUGUUAUUAGGGAAGAACAAAUGUGUAAGUAACUAUGCACGUCUUGACGGUACCUAAUCAGAAAGCCACGGCUAACUACGUG
rnacentral:rRNA from 1 species